GACGCAGUUUAGCCUUGAUGGGCGAUCAUUUCCUUCCGUCGAAGAAGCUUUUUAAAAGUCAAGAUGUCCGCAUGAAUGUUGCACUAUAAAACAUAAAGAGAUUAGGCAAAAUCCCAUUUGCUCGGGUGAUCCUGCCUGCAUUUGUAGGAAGACUUCUGGAAUAAAAAUGACAGGUUAUUGGCGAAAUAUUCAAAAAAGUGAUGGGGCAUAAAAUGGUAACUAAUUUUUCAUUGAAUAGCAUAUCUGGUUAAGUUGCAGCAGAUCACCAUUCCUGAUUGCUGGGAUCAACUGAUAAAGGAUUGAGCCUGGGACACACUGAUUUUGUUGUGUGAAGUGAGGUGAACGGAUAAAGCAUGUCUGCCCAAGUUGAAACAAAUCUAAAGCGAUCAACAGUGGCUAUAGAAAGCUAGCUGAGAUUGAAUCACUGGACAGUCUCCAUUUUGAAGAGUCAAGAUGCUCAGUCAGUGUUUGUCGACAACUGAUCAACAAGAGGCAACAUGAGGAGUGAAAACAUAUGAAAAGAUAAUGAAGAAGAAAUGAAAAUUUUGCAAAUACUCAGCAGGUGAGGAACCAUCUGCGGAGACAGCAAAAUAUAUAAAUUAACUCUGUUUUUCUCUCUCUCCGCAAGAUGCUGUCUGCAUUUCUGAGUAUUUACAGUUUCUGUCUCAAAUUUCUGGCAGCCACAUAGUAUGCUGCCCUUGUGUUAAAGGAUAUGGAGAUCACUGUACAUCCACUGAUGAGAUUUUUAGCGAAUUGAGUCUUAGAUUUUCAACUGAUACUAUACUGCCAGCACUGAUUAAGUGUCCUCAGUUAUUGUUAUAUUUCAUCAUGGAAUGAUUUGUGGGUUUUCCCCGAUUACAUUUCCAGACGUUACUCCGAUGCUUUCCAACCCUAAUUCCCCCUUUCAAAAUAUACAAUUGCUAAGGAUAAGACUGAUUUACCUGCAGCAAUCAAGUGAAAUCAUUUCUUCUGUCAACCAAGCCCAGUGUGUUUUGGCAGCAUCAAUCCCAAUAACCCAGCUGAUAUUAGCCAAAUUUUGUGUAGCCAUUCAUAGGAUGUGGACAUCACUUGUAAGGCCAGCAUUUAUUGGCCAUUCCCAAGUGCCAUUGAGAAGAUGAUGGUAGAAUUUAGUUUACCCAGUAAGUGGUGAUGGAGAACUCACAUCAGUUAAAUCCCAGCCAAAAAGUUGUGAGGGUUGAGUGCCACAUGCCUUUUAUUAAUUACAUGCUUCAACUGGAAAUGCUUCCUGGGUUUUCAGCUAUCACUUGUAAGGCCAGCAUUUAUUGGCCAUUCCCAAGUGCCAUUGAGAAGAUGAUGAUGAGUUGACGCCUCAUAAAUACAGCUUACUAGGCUGAGUGGCUUACUAGGUCACUUAAGAGGCUAAUUAAGAAUGAACCGCAUUGUGGUGUGUAUGGAAUCACAGAUAGGGAAGAGCAGGUAAGCAUGAUACAUUUGUUUCCCUAAAAGAUAUUAUCCCUUCAAACAAACUAAAUUAUUCUCUGGGCUGUUCAGCUAUGUCAGUGCUUGGUAUGAAGCAACUAUUGACAAUUUUUUUGCAUUGGUCCUUUGUGCAUCCUGAAAUGGACUUUUGAUGAUUUCCCAGAGGAUACUGAUGUACUGUAAUGUAAGCAGAGUGAGUGUUUAGGAUAGGAUUUCUUGGAACCUCCACAUCAGUGAAAAUGGAUGGUAGCCAUAUCAAUCAGCCUGACAUUCUUGUCCUUCUGCUCAAACUCAAAUGAACUUUCACCAGAAAAUCACUGGCACAUUUCGCUACCAACAGUUGCCUGCAGUAAACAGCGCUGUUUUUUAUUACUCACCUUGUAACUUCCAUUCUGUUGAAGUGCUGGGUGCAAAAUAGACAAUAAAAAUGUUAUGAAGGCAUGCUACCUGAAAUGAUAAUUUAGAAUUUCACAGAUUGGACUACAUCUAUGUUUUUGGAAAUAAAUGCUUUAAAAGCAAAGAAGAUUGUCUGCAGCAGGAAAAUUGUUGCAUUUUCAAAGAACAAAACCUGCUUGACUGGAGAUGCUAAGUCUACAACACUUUCAGAAGAAGGCCACAAGACAGAGUCUGUGGGCCUAAUAAAACCAUUGGAAUCGAACGUCCAAGAGAUAUCUUUCCUGGAGCAACAGGUUUUUCUCUCCUUUCAUUUCUUUCAACUGUAAUGAUUGGAAUGAGGGUCAGCUGGACUUCUUGACUAUGAGAUCCUUGACUGGGGUUGUUAACCCAAGCCAAACAGGGCUGACAGAUAUAAACAGGAGAUUCAGAGAACCUCCUCAUUCUUGGGACUGGCUCUGAGCUGCCUGGCCACAGCCAGUGUACUGUGGAUGUGUAA